UACGGAGGGUGCAAGCGUUAUCCGGAUUCACUGGGUUUAAAGGGUGCGUAGGUGGCUUUGUAAGUCAGUGGUGAAAUCUUAGAGCUUAACUCUAAAACUGCCAUUGAUACUGCUUAGCUUGAAUCAAGUAGAGGUGGAUGGAAUAAUACAUGUAGCGGUGAAAUGCUUAGAUAUGACAUAGAACACCAAUUGCGAAGGCAGCUCGCUACACAUAUAUUGACUCUGAGGCACGAAAGCGUGGGGAUCAAACAGG
rnacentral:rRNA from 1 species